rnacentral:rRNA from 1 species
UACGUAGGGUGCAAGCGUUGUCCGGAAUCAUUGGGCGUAAAGAGCGUGCAGGCGGUCCGGUAAGUCCGCUGUGAAAGUCGGGGGCUCAACCCUCGAAUGCCGGUGGAUACUGUCGGGCUAGAGUGCGGAAGAGGCGAGUGGAAUUCCUGGUGUAGCGGUGAAAUGCGCAGAUAUCAGGAGGAACACCUAUUGCGAAGGCAGCUCGCUGGGACGUAACUGACGCUGAGACGCGAAAGCGUGGGGAGCAAACAGG